UACAGAGGUCUCAAGCGUUGUUCGGAUUCAUUGGGCGUAAAGGGUGCGUAGGCGGCGCGGUAAGUCGGGUGUGAAAUCUCGGAGCUUAACUCCGAAACUGCAUUCGAUACUGCCGUGCUUUGAGGACUGGAGAGGAGACUGGAAUUUACGGUGUAGCGGUGAAAUGCGUAGAUAUCUGGAGGAACACCGGUGGCGAAGGCGGCAUCCUGGACCGGCAUUGACGCUGAGGCGCGAAAGCUAGGGGAGCAAACGGG
rnacentral:rRNA from 1 species